rnacentral:rRNA from 1 species
ACGUAGGCACCUGCCCGGUAGCUCGGGAGAACAUAGUGGAAACUCAUGCUAGUACCGGAUAGGGUCUUCUCUCGCAUGAGUGGAGACGGGAAGGUGGCGCAAGCUGCCACUUACGGAUGGGCCUGCGGAGGAUACCUAGUUGGUGGGGUAACGGCCUACCAAGGCGACCAUGCGUGCCCCACCUGAGAGGGUGACCGGCCACGCUGGGACUGACACUCGGACCAAAAUCCUACGGGAAGCCCCACUGGGGAAUUUUCCACAAUGGACUAAAGUCUGAAGGAACAACUCCCCGAGAACCAUGAAGGGCUUCAGAUUGGAAAGCUCAGUUGUCAGAUACGAACAAAUACCGUACCAACAAGGCGGUACCUUGACGGGACCUGACAAGAAAGCCACCGCUAACUACGUGCCUACCGCCGCGGCAAUACCUACGUGGCAAGCGUUGUCCGGAAUUAUUGGGCGUAAAGCGCGCGCAAGCGGGUAUGUAAGUCUGGUGUUAAAGCCCAGGGCUCAACCCCGGGUCGCAUCGGAAACUGUGUAUCUUGACUGCAGAACAAGAAAGCGGUAUUCCACGUGUAACGGUGAAAUGCGUAGAGAUGUGGAGGAACACCAGUGGCGAACGCCGCUUUCUGGUCUGUACACUGACGCUGAGGCGCGAAAGCGUGGGGAGCAAACAGGAUUAGAUACCCUGGUAUUCCACGCCGUAAACCAUGAGUGCUAAGUGUUGGGGGUUUCUAUACCCUCAGUGCCGCAGCUAACGCAAUAAGCACUCCGCCUGGGGAGUACGCUCGGAAGAGUGAAACUCAAAAGAAUUGACGGGGGCCCGCACAAGCGGUGGAGCAUGUGGUUUAAAUCGAAGCAACGCGUAAAAACCUACCAGGGCAUGACAUCCCGGUGAACGUCCUAGAGAUAAGGCUUUCCUUCGGGGGCCCGGUUACAGGUGGGGGCAUGGGUGU